rnacentral:piRNA from 1 species
UCCCUAUAGCUGAGGAACAGGGUACAUGC